rnacentral:rRNA from 1 species
AGAGUUUGAUCCUGGCUCAGGAUGAACGCUGGCGGCGUGCCUAAUACAUGCAAGUCGAGCGGCAGCACGGUCUUCGGACUGGUGGCGAGCGGCGGACGGCUGAGUAACGCGUAGGAAUAUACCCCAAAGUGAGGGAUAACUGCCCGAAAGGUGGCUAAUACCGCAUGUGGUCUUCGGACUAAAGCCUUCGGGCGCUUUGGGAAUAGCCUGCGUAAGAUUAGCUAGUUGGUGAGGUAAUGGCUCACCAAGGCGACGAUCUUUAGCUGGUCUGAGAGGAUGACCAGCCAGACUGGAACUGAGACACGGUCCAGACUCCUACGGGAGGCAGCAGUAGGGAAUUUUCCACAAUGGGCGAAAGCCUGAUGGAGCAACGCCGCGUGCAGGAUGAAGGCCCUCGGGUCGUAAACUGCUUUUAUGUGCGAAGAAUAUGACGGUAACACAUGAAUAAGGGUCGGCUAACUACGUG